GCUUGUCUCAAAGAUUAAGCCAUGCAUGUCUAAGUAUAAACAAAUCUAUACGUGAAACUGCGAAUGGCUCAUUAUAUCAGUUAUAGUUUAUUUGAUGGUUCUUGCUACUUGGAUAACCGUAGUAAUUCUAGAGCUAAUACAUGCGUCAAGUCCCUACCGCGCGAGCGGGAAGGAUGUGUUUAUUAGAUACAACCAACCCUUCGGGUCCCUGGUGAAUCAUAAUAACCGAACGAACCGCAUGCUUCGGCGGCGGUGGUUCAUUCAAGUUUCUGCCCUAUCAGCUUUCGAUGGUAGGGUAUUGGCCUACCAUGGCGUUAACGGGUAACGGAGAAUUAGGGUUCGAUUCCGGAGAGGGAGCCUGAGAGAUGGCUACCACAUCCAAGGAAGGCAGCAGG
rnacentral:rRNA from 1 species